GUGCCAGCCGCCGCGGUAAUACGGAGGGUGCAAGCGUUGUUCGGAAUUAUUGGGCGUAAAGCGCGUGUAGGCGGUUGGGUAAGUCAGAUGUGAAAGCCUUCCGCUCAACGGAAGAAGUGCAUUUGAAACUGCUCGGCUAGAGUACGGGAGAGGAGAGUGGAAUUCCCGGUGUAGAGGUGAAAUUCGUAGAUAUCGGGAGGAACACCAGUGGCGAAGGCGGCUCUCUGGUCCGAUACUGACGCUGAGACGCGAAAGCGUGGGGAGCAAACAGGAUUAGAUACCCUGGUAGUCCACGCCGUAAACGAUGGGCACUAGGUGUAGGAGGUAUUGACCCCUCCUGUGCCGAAGUUAACGCAUUAAGUGCCCCGCCUGGGGAGUACGGCCGCAAGGCUAAAACUCAAAGGAAUUGACGGGG
rnacentral:rRNA from 1 species